GACGAACGCUGGCGGCGUGCUUAACACAUGCAAGUCGAACGGAAAGGCCCUGCUUUUGUGGGGUGCUCGAGUGGCGAACGGGUGAGUAACACGUGAGUAACCUGCCCUUGACUUUGGGAUAACUUCAGGAAACUGGGGCUAAUACCGGAUAGGAGCUCCUGCUGCAUGGUGGGGGUUGGAAAGUUUCGGCGGUUGGGGAUGGACUCGCGGCUUAUCAGCUUGUUGGUGGGGUAGUGGCUUACCAAGGCUUUGACGGGUAGCCGGCCUGAGAGGGUGACCGGCCACAUUGGGACUGAGGUACGGCCCAGACUCCUACGGGAGGCAGCAGUGGGGAAUAUUGCACAAUGGGCGGAAGCCUGAUGCAGCAACGCCGCGUGCGGGAUGACGGCCUUCGGGUUGUAAACCGUUUUCGCCUGUGACGAAGCGUGAGUGACGGUAAUGGGUAAAGAAGCACCGGCUAACUACGUG
rnacentral:rRNA from 1 species